CGACACCUCUGAACAACGUACCUUAGAGCCACCGAGGACAGACAGACCAGGGCACAGGGUGGUCACGCUUGCUUCUCCUUGGGUCGCUCCACCUUGGGUCGCUCCCAGGCUCCCUCCACCCUCUCCAGGCCCAGAUGCCCUUAAAUGGAUUCGGAAAAGCUUGGAAGAUGCUUCUGACAAGUCCUGUCUAUGGAAUACAACCCAUCAGGAAGCGUAAGAGGAAUAUUUUUUCCAUUUCUCCCACCAACUAUUUCCCCAGAUGUGGGCCUAAGGACCCUGAGGGAGGACACCAAGCACUGGGGUGCUGCUUUGAACUGCUGGUAGCUGCGCCUUUCUCCUGCCUCAGUUUAUCCUGAGCAGAAAGGCAGCACUCAGAAGAAUGAGUUAAUGCUCCUACCUAGGAACCCUUGCUGGGGCCCCACUGAAAAGCCACCGGAGGAUGUAAAGUGUUUACAGAUGGUGUCCGGAACUCAAGGAACUUCUCUGAACAUGCCUGAGGGGUUAUGGGGAAAAAGGGAUGACAAGGGAAGUGCCAGGGAGCCUGCAAAGGAUCACCUCCCAUUGCAGGAGUCCCCAGCGGUGUUUUCAGGUAAAUACAUACAUCCUUUCAGCUGCCACAGCAGGAGAGGAACUGUUCAUGGAGGACCUACCACAUACUACUUGUUAGUGCAUUUAAUCCUCUGAAUGCGUCUAUGAGAUGCCUUUACUACUGCCAGGCCCACUUUACCUUUGAGAAAAAUCUGAAGCUCAGAGACACAGGGUAACUUCUCCAAGAUCACACAGCUAGUCCAUAGAGAAGGAUUCCAGAACUGUCUCACUGCCAGGUGGAUGUUACAUCCCCUUCCCUGUUUGCCCUGCUCUGGUCUGUUCUUCCUCGACACUUGGAUGAAGCACAGGUGACUUGCUUUCUUUGCAUGAUUCUUGACAAUACUUAAGGGGGGGCAGGUGUGGGCACUUAAAGGGUGGGGCUGAGACUGUGUCAGUUACCAUGGUGCUGUGUUUAUAUGCUGAUGGCUGCUGUGUUUAUAUGCUGAUGGCUGCUGUGUUUAUACGCUGAUGGCUGCUGUGUUUAUACGCUGAUGGCUGCUGUGUACAGAAAGGGCAGAGCUGUUAAGGGUCAAGCCCUCUCCCUCCAGUUAAAAUUUAAGAGGAGAGGAUUGGUGUUUGCCACAUUCUAGAGUUGCUCAGUAUUCUUGCAAAAGGCAUAAUUAGGUAAAGGUUAGCUCUCCCCACCUUGGUAAACAAAGCCAAACCAAACCUUUUGGACCCAGCACUCAGAACUCUCCAUUCUACAGCAUUCAUCUAUGAAAAAGGAGGAUAUAAAGAAAAAAGAAAAGAUCCAUUCCUUGGACAAAGCUUGAUUUUUCCAUUUUUAAGUGCUGUGAUUUCAAGUGCCGAAAGGGCAGAGUGGAACAAUGACACACCAUGAAGAAGAGAAGAAAACUCCUGUUCUGAACUUUCCUGAGAAUGGUCCUCAUUCAAAGCAUCCCGAGCAUUGGCUAAUUCUCCCCAGUACUCCCUUCUGGAGGCGCAUCUGGGACAGAGGCAGGAAGAAAUGCCCAGGCCCCCAGUGUUUGGUGCUGUCUUUUCAUGUCACUCCAGUCCCCCAUCCUUUAGAGAGCAAUUGCCUGAUUCCAGACAUGUGCUCGAUGCUAGACAUGCAAACUGAAAGAUUCUCAACAUGUCCUUGUAUCUUUCUCAGAAACAAAAAUGAUGGAGGUGCAGGCAGUUCCAAAUAAACUAGCUCUAUUAAAGCCA